GGAAUAAAUGGAACUUUUGGAUUGGGACCUUAGGACCUAGGUUAGGCCCUAGGCUUAGGUCCUAGGUUUAGGCAAUAAGCUUAGGCCCUAGGCUUAAGCUCUGUGCUUAGGUCAUAAGCUUAGGCCCUAGGCUUAGGCUCUAGACU
ensembl:ncRNA Y47D3B.21 ncRNA